rnacentral:lncRNA from 1 species
AUUAAUAUUAUUUAUAUUUUCUUAGGAUUUAAUUCUAUUAAAAUUGAAAAUAAGUAAUUAAAUUAGAAUAUGUUAGUAUAUGAAAAUGUAUAUUUAAAUAAAAUAAUAAUAGUGAAUAAUACAUAAAUAUAGCAGGGGAUACAAAAAUUUAAAAUAAAUUAAAUAGGGAAUAAAAGUAAUUUCUAUAUUCUCUGAGAAUCCACUUUUCUUUUUUAUUAGAAAUCCCUGUAUUAGAUUAAUUAGAGUUGUAAAUUUAGAAUCUUAUUUUUAAGAUAAGAACGAAAAGAAGAAUAAAAAAAGGAUUAGAGUCGAUUAUCAUACAUAUUUGUGUAUAAAUUAAAAAGGGUACACUUAAUU